AGGAAUGUACUAAUGACUGGAUUCAAAUGCUGUGUGUGUUUCUGAGCAGCUUUUAGUCUUUUAAAGACUCACAUUUUGUCCACACACACACAUAGACACACACACACACACACGUAUACUGUGACAUUUAAAUGAGAGACAAUUUUAGAAGCAAGGUGAAAAUGGCACGGAAUCAUCUCCGCUCUCUCUCUCUUUCUCUUUCUCUCUUUUUCUAUUGCGCGUGCUCUCUCUCGCUCACUCGCUCUCGUUUCCUUUCAGAAUAGUGUAAUUAUGAUCAGACAGAUUCAAAUUAUCUCUAAAAUGAUCUCAGUUUCUCCUCUUCCCUUCUCGCCCCGUGUGUAAUUUCCCCUGCUUUUUCCACUGCUUUCGCGCAGCACUUUCACAACGCCGGCCGCACGCUCGGGUCAGAGGUCGCGGAUUGUUGUAAACAGAAGCUCAUCAGGGCCAGCCCGUGUGUAAUAACGUUAGAUGGAUAUCUCCGGCCAUGUUUGUCUCAAAGCCUCGCCACUGUCCUCCCUGCACUUCACAGAUAACAUCACUCGUCCCGAGAGAGAAAGAGAGAGAGAGAGACACAAAGAGCCAACUUAACGCCAGUCUGACCCUCAGCGCACGGCCUCGUCCUCACUAUCAAUCACCCCUUUGUUCACUUCCUCUUACCCAUUGUGGACGGGUCCCAAAGACUCGUCUGCUCCUCUCCCGCUUUCUUUCUGUCUGUCUUCUGUGAUUCUGGAUUUCCCUGAAAAAAAAGAUCUAAAGCGUGUGUUGUGCACUAUAUACAAUUGCUGCCUUUAUUUGCCUACUUGUUAACCUUUCUUAUACAGGCAGUACAGAUCACCACCUCGUAUCAAUACACUGAAACCUGACACUGAAACAGGUAGGCUAGCCAUCGGCUCAAUGGGUGAAGGCAAGAAUAGUGAGGGACAGGCAAGGUCAGUAACAAAAUAACAGCAAAAAAUAAAUAAAUAUAUCAUACAAGGUAAAAACACAAAAAAGAUCAGCAGCAGGUUAUCAAUAUAAUGAGCAAGGCAAAAGACGAUAAACAGUGAUGAAGAAAAAGGUCAGUAACGAAGAAGGCAACACAAUGAAAUGCAUCGUAAAAGAGUUUAAAAAAACUAGAUUCAAUAUUCAGCAAAGAACUGAGCAAACUGAGGGGUAUAUACACAAGGGAGGACAGGUGAAGCCAAUUAGUAACUUGGAGAGUAGGAACACUAUAGCAUCAUGCGGUCAGUGGAGUCAUAUAUAAAUGUGUAAUACAGUAUUAAUACUACAAAUGCAACUUUUUCUUAUUUUCUCAAUGUAUUUGUUUAUCUACAAAUUUGUCUAUAAAGAUUUCCUGAAAAUGUAAGAUCUUAAAGGUCUUAAAUGCUGUUAUAAACACUAUUUUGAGUAUUAUAAGAUCUUUAUUUUGAUCUUUGCUUUGGUCAGUAUCUUACCCCUGUGUGUGAAUAAAAGAGAGAAAGCUAAAGAGUGAGAGUCAGAAAGUGAGAGAAUAAGAGAGUGAGAGAAUAAGAGAGUGAGAGAAUAAGAGAGCGAUAUAAAGAGUGAGUUUAAGAAAGUGAGAGAAAAAAGUGAGAGAUUAAGCGAAAGAGUAAAAGAGUGACAGUAAGAAAGUGAGAGAAAGAAAGUGAAAGUAAGAGAGUAAGAGUAAGAGAGUGAGAGAAACAGUAUUAGAGUAAGAGAGUGAGAGAAUAAAAGAGAGAGUUAAAGAGUGAGUUUAAAAAAGUGAGAGAAAGAGAGUGAGAGAAUAAGAGAGAGAGUUAAAGAGUGAGUUUAAAAAAGUGAGAGAAAGAGAGUGAGAGAAUAAGAGAGAGAGUUAAAGAGUGAGUUUAAGAAAGUGAGAGAAAGAAAGUGAGAGAAUAAGAGAGAGUAAAAGAGUGAGUGUAAGAAAGUGAGAGAAAGAGAAUGAGAGAGUAAGAGAAAGAGUUAAAGAGUGAGUUUAAGAAAGUGAGAGAAAGAAAGUGAGAGAAUAAGAGAGAGUAAAAGAGUGAGUGUAAGAAAGUGAGAGAAAGAGAGUGAGAGAAUAAGAGAGAGAGAGAGAGUUAAAGAGUGAGUUUAAGAAAGUGAGAGAAAGAAAGUGAGAGAAUAAGAGAGAGAGUAAAAGAGUGAGUGUAAGAAAGUGAGAGAAAGAGAAUGAGAGAGUAAGAGAAAGAGUUAAAGAGUGAGUUUAAGAAAGUGAGAGAAAGAAAGUGAGAGAAUAAGAGAGAGUAAAAGAGUGAGUGUAAGAAAGUGAGAGAAAGAGAAUGAGAGAGUAAGAGAAAGAGUUAAAGAGUGAGUUUAAGAAAGUGAGAGAAAGAAAGUGAGAGAAUAAGAGAGAGUAAAAGAGUGAGUGUAAGAAAGUGAGAGAAAGAGAGUGAGAGAAUAAGAGAGAGAGAGAGAGAGUUAAAGAGUGAGUUUAAGAAAGUGAGAGAAAGAAAGUGAGAGAAUAAGAGUUCAAGAGUGAGUAAGAAAGUGAAAGAAAAUGAGAGAAUAAGAGAAAGAGUUAAAGAGUGAGUUUAAGAAAGUGAGAGAAAGAGAGGGAGAGAAAGAGAGUGAGAGAAAAAGUAUAAGUGUAAAAGAGAAAGAGAAUAAGAGAGAGAGAGUAAAAGAGUGAGUGUAAGAAAGUGAGAGUAAGAUCAAGAGAAAGAGAGUGAGAGAAAAAGUAGAGUUAUGGCUGGAGUGAGUGAGGGGUUGACCUCACUCUUCGACCCAGACUGCAGUUGAUAGUGUGUGUGUGUGUGUGUGUGUGUGUGUGUGUGUGUGUGUGUGUGUGUGUGUGUGAGACCCACUUGAGGAGAUAGUGUGACACUAAAUUAACAAUGCAUUAACUUUGUCCUCAGUCUCUAGAUAUUUGGCUCUGACCUUCAAAUUGUAGAUCCAGUCACCACACACACACACACACACACACACACACUCACACACACACUCUCGCACACAGCCAAACUCUUUGAAUGGCACAGUCCGAAGGCUUUUAUUCUGCUAAUAUAUCCUCCCAUUGACCUGCGCUGAGUGAAAACCAAUCUGAAUCCUGAUCCCAUGAAAGAUUAAACAUAGGAUCACUAGCAACAUCAAGCUCAUUGAUUUACUGCAUUUAAUUCCCAGCAAAACUCUGCUGACCACCUCAGAAAGAACGAAAGAAAGAAAGAAAGAAACAAAGAAAAGAAAGAAAGAAGGGAACAAACAAUUAAAACACAGCAAAGAAAAGGGAUGAAGAAACAAAUCACAACAUGAAAACAGAAAGUAGAAAGAUGAGAAAGAAAGAAUGAGAGUAGGAACACAAGAGAGAAAUAUGGACACACAAAAAAGGAGGACUGACUAAAAAGUAAAAUAGGUCAAACAUAGAAGACAGAAAGAAAGGUAGUGUAGAGUAAAACAAGAGUCAAGGAAGAUAACAACAAGGAAAAUUACUAAUAAUUCAAAAAAGAUUGCGGCAAAACUGCCUACAAACCCAGAGAAAGAUAAAAAAGAAUAAAGAAUAAAGAAAAAAACAAAGAGAGUGAGAAUGUUGGAUACAAUGAGGAAAAGAAUGAGAAGAGCAGAGGAAGUUUGAGGAAAGAGGAAGAGAAAAUAAACUAAGAAGGAAAGAAACUGAUUACACAUCGUAGAAAAAGUGUUAGAUACAAAGUAAAAAGGAUGAAAGAAAGAAAAAAACUGAUUGGAAUUUAAAGAAACAGAAAGACAAAGGAAAAAGGAAUAAACAAACAAAUAAGGCAAAAAUAAAGAAAAAAAGAAAGACAUACAAAGCAAGGUAAAAAAAAAAAGACUGAGAAAGUAAAAUAAAUCAGACCUAGAAGACUGAAAGAAAGGUGGAGUAGGAUGGCAAUAGACAAAACAGACAGAAAGAUAAGGAAAAACAAAGAAAGAAAGAAAGAAAGAAAGAAAGAAAGAAAGAAAGAAAGAAAGAAAGAAAGAAAAUGCAAGGUAGGAAAGACUAAGAAAGUAACAUAAAUCAGACCUAGAAGACUGAAAGAAAGAUGGAAGAUGAUGACAAGAGACAAAACAGACAGAGGAAAGAAAGAAAAGAAACUGAUAGAACAAGAGAAUAAAAGUUAUAUGCAAAGUAAAGAGAAAGAAUGAAAGAAGAAACUGGUGAAAUUAUAUAAAACAGAGGAAGAAAGAAAAAAGAAAGAAAGAAAGAAACUGAUAGAAUAUAAAUAAAGUAACUUAUAUAGAAUUAUACAGAGACAGAAAAAACACUUCUGAGUCUUAUAUCUGUGUCUUCUGUCUGUGUCUCACGUCUGUGUCUCGUGUCUGUGUCUCUCACUGUCUUCUUUCUGUAGUCGGUAAAUCAUUUAGAUGAGAUAAAUGGAUAAAUCUGUCUGAGAUGCUCAGUGUAGACACUACUGUACAGAUAAAGAGCAGUAACAGCUGGAAUAGUAACAUCUACAACUCUCAUCCUUCCUUCUCCCUCUCUCUCUCUCUCUCUCUCUCUCUCUCUCUCUCUCUGUGUGUGUGUUCCUGAUGCUGUAGUAGACCCCGCUGCAGAGUGCUGUUGUGAGUUCAGUGGUGUGUGUACGAGCAGUGCAGGAAUAAACGUGCGAGUUGCUGUAUGUGUGUGUGUGUGUGUGUGUAGGGGGGGUCCCCAGCAGUGAGUUGUACAGAUUCUCCACAGCUGUUGAAAGCCAUAUGAUCAAACACACGCCCCCUCCGGGACCCGCCUGUGACAUCAAACCGCAUAUUAUGUCAUUUGCUGUAUCCGGAGCGUUCGAUACGUCCGCCGCUAAUCCCAGAACGUGUCGAAAACACAUUUACAACAGUCUGACGACGUUAUCCCUCCUCCUUUCACGGCUCAGCCAAUCCCUUUGGGUGCCGCCGCCGCUCUCGCGUCGUCUCGCGGCGCUCUCGCCGGCGCGGCGUGGAAAUGCUGCGGGAGGGUUUGGUUUCCUCGCCCUCGCUGCUGGAAUGGCUUUAAAUGAGGGGGGGAUAGAGGUUGUAAAUCAUAAUUAAGAUGGGGAAACAAUGCUGUCAGAUAAAUACGAGGCUGUGUGACAGUAAGUACGGCGCUGAGUGGGCGAGAGCGCGGGAGGAUUGACAUUAAUGCUAAUGUCAGUUGAAUUCAUUCCCCAUUCUAAUAUCUUUAUUAGAGACUCUGUGCAAAGUGUGUGUGUGUGUGUGUGUAUGUAUGGGGGGGUGUUAAACCAUAGCCAGGGCCAGAUAAAUGGUAUCAGUUCUCAUUCGAUCACUCUCUCUAUCUUACUCUUACUCUUACUCUAUUUCUCAUUCUCUUUCUCCACUGACUCACUAUACUGAACAUAAAAACUCUACAGAUUUUACUCUGUUAUCCUCCUUUCAUUCUAUUCUUCAGUGAUCAGGAUGCUAGCUCUUUAUAACUAGCUAAUAUCACCCUCCAGAACCAGAGCACUCAGGGUUCCUCAGUGAAGCACUAGUGACAAAGAGGGAGAGUAAAAGAGGAAAGGGGUGAGAAUGAGAGAAAGAGUAAGAGAACAAAGGGGAGAGAGUGAAAGAGGAGGAGUAAGAGAGUGAGUGAAAGGGAGAAAGUGAGAGGCAGAAUAAGUGAGCAACAGUGAAAGAGAGAUAGAGAAGGAGAGGGAGAGGGAGAGAAUAAGGGGAGAAAGUGAGAAGGGAAGAGAGAGAGUAAGUGAAAGGGAGAAAGUCAGAGGGAGAUUAAGAGAGUGACAGUGAAAGAGAGGGAGAGUAAGAGAGUGAGAGAAAGUGGGAUUGAGACUAACAUAGUGAGAGUAAGAGAAGGAGAGAAAAACAGGGAGAUUAAGAGAAUGAGAGAGUGAGAUUGAGAGAAAGAGAGUGAGAGAAAGAGGGAUUGAGACUAACAGAGUGAGAAUAAGAAAAAGGAGUGAAAAGAGUGAGAGAAAGGGAGUGAGAAUGAAAGAAAGAGAGUGAGACUAACAGAGUGAGAGUAAGAGAAUGAGAGAAAAAGAAUGAGAGAAAGAGAGUGAGAGUGAAAAAAGAGAGUGAAAGAAAGAGGGAGUGAGACUAACAGAGUGAGAGAUGGAGAAGUGGAGAAAAAGAUGGAGAGAAAAGGAAUGAGAGAAAGAGUAAGAGAAAGAAGGGGAGAGAGUGAGAGGGGAAGAGUAAGAGAGUGAGUGAAAGGAAGAAAGUCAGAGGGAGUAUAAGAGAGUGACUGUGAAAGAGAGAUAGAGAAAGAGUGAAAAGGAGGAGUAAGUGAGUGAGAGAAAGAGUGAGAGGGUGAGAGGGAGAAAAAGAGAGUGAAUGAGAGAAAGAGAGGAAGAGUAGGAGAGUGAGUGAAAGGGAGAAAGUGAGAGGGAGAAUAAGAGAGUAACAGUGAAAGAGAGGGAGAGGAAGAGAGUGAAAGAGGAGGAGUAAGUGAGUGAGAGAAAGAGUGAGAGGGAGAAAAAGAGAGUGAGAGAAAGAGAGGGAGAGUAAGAGAGUAAGAGAAGAGGGAGAAAGUGAGAGUGCUAGGGAAAAUUAGCAGUUAGCCACUAAUGCUAAUGCUCCAGCCUUAGUGCUGGAGAAAUUUGGGAAUUUAAGCCUACUGUAAAUAAAUGGAAGCACUUUACUCACCCAAAUAACAGUUUUCAGUAGAGACAUCUGUGUAGAAUUACAUCUAGCACUCGUUUGACUUUAAAAGAAAGUCUUUUCUAUUGCAGUUUUGUUUACUUAGCUUAUUUUAGCUACUUAAAUUAGUUAGCUACCCCCCACCACCAACCAGCGGUGAGACCUGCUGAAUUCGUUUCUCUGUAGGUAGAAGUAUAGAUACUAGGGUUUAAAAUAUUUCUGCAGAAGUUGAAGAAUCAAGUAAAGCUUUAUGCUCUUUAAGUAAAAGUCUUUUAUAAAAAGUACUGGU